rnacentral:rRNA from 1 species
UACGGGGGGGGCAAGCGUUGUUCGGAAUUACUGGGCGUAAAGGGCUCGUAGGCGGCCAACUAAGUCGGACGUGAAAUCCCCAGGCUCAACCUGGGAACUGCGUCCGAUACUGGAUGGCUUGAAUCCGGGAGAGGGAUGCAGAAUUCCAGGUGUAGCGGUGAAAUGCGCAGAUAUCAGGAGGAACACCAAUGGCGAAGGCAGCUCGCUGGGACGGUACUGACGCUGAGGCGCGAAAGCGUGGGGAGCAAACAGG